GACGAACGCUGGCGGCGUGCUUAACACAUGCAAGUCGAACGGAAAGGCCCUGCUUGCAGGGUACUCGAGUGGCGAACGGGUGAGUAACACGUGGGUGAUCUGCCCUGCACUUCGGGAUAAGCCUGGGAAACUGGGUCUAAUACCGGAUAGGAGCCAUUUUUAGUGUGAUGGUUGGAAAGUUUUUUCGGUGUAGGAUGAGCUCGCGGCCUAUCAGCUUGUUGGUGGGGUAAUGGCCUACCAAGGCGGCGACGGGUAGCCGGCCUGAGAGGGUGGACGGCCACAUUGGGACUGAGAUACGGCCCAGACUCCUACGGGAGGCAGCAGUGGGGAAUAUUGCACAAUGGGCGCAAGCCUGAUGCAGCGCCGCCGCGUGGGGGAUGACGGCCUUCGGGUUGUAAACUCCUUUCGCUAGGGACGAAGCUUUUUGUGACGGUACCUAGAUAAGAAGCACCGGCUAACUACGUG
rnacentral:rRNA from 1 species